AAUGGGAUGACUGAGUGAAGGUGAUAAAUUGUAAAUUUAUUUAGGAUUAAAAAUCUCUCAUUA
rnacentral:tRNA from 1 species